CUAAGGCCCAAAGUGCUGGAGGAAGGUUUUCAACAGCCUCACUCUAAGUUCAGCAAACCCCGGUAUUAAGGUUGGCAAGGGCCAGUUGUCCACCAAGAAGACUUCCUGGGAGGCUGUAUCCAAGAGCAGGCCCUGCCCUCAAGCACAGUUCAGAGCUUUCAGAUCCUGCCCCCUGGGCUCCCUGCCACCAAGAGGACACUGGGAAAAGAACCCAUGGUGCAUGAGGUCAACUCCUAGUUCUUCCCUUUCUUGCUGGGCAAGGCCUAGAUCACACCUAACCUGGGAAGCACCACCCUCUUCCCUCCUUGAAGUGAGACUCCAGCCUCCUCAGUCCUCUUCCCUGAAGGCAGCUUCUGUUUCAUCCCCUCUCCAGCAAAGACCACCAGUGCAAGUAUUUUCAGGGGAGAGAAUAUAUGAAGAAAGCAGUCUUUUAACUGUAAAUCACGAUGCGUUUUGUAUGUUCCCAAUGACUGUUUGGAAUGAUCAAAUGAAUGAUUGUUUGGAACAUUGUCUGGAUGUUAUCAAAACAAAAACAAACCAGAAUUUAUUCCCCUGGCAAGUAACAAAUGACUUUCCAUGAGAACGCAGGUUUUGACCAAAGGAGUUUUAUUACUUGUCACAAGUAAGGAGAGCACUGGGAGUGUUCUCCAAAGCAGUGUUUCCUAAGAGAAAAUGAAAGCAGGGCUUUAUGUGGUGUUGGAGAGGGGAGAGGGUGCAUCAUCGCAUGUAGAGGAGGGUUCCCAGUGGCACAGAUGCAGUGAGUCAUGGUGCCAGCACACAGGUUGCAUGUUGUGGUAAUGAAGCUACACAUCUCCUGAGGUGCAGGCUUUAGCACGGUCAUGAGGAAAAUUCACUGGGGUUCAUCUGUAAGUGGUCGGGGUCUUUGAGGAGCUGGUUCCAACCAACUAGGUGACCACAUUUCACACAGGGUUUGAGAUAAAACUGGCUUCAAGGCAAGAGGCUGUAACACAGGCUGAUUGCUUGAAUUGACAAAAUUCCUGUACUCCCUGGAUUCCUUCCUGUUGGCCUACAAAUUUCCUCCCCUAGAGAUAUGUGACUCUUCAUUCUUGAGAGGUCAUUCUUCUGUAACUUUAUGCUGAUUAGGGAUGCCGUGUCCAGAGAUAUUAGGGGAGUGAAAAUCUCUAGACACUAAAUCUAAAUGUGUUUUGAGGUCUCCCAAGAAAGUCUGCAAAGGCUGGUAUUGUUGUUGGAAGUUGCAGUUGAAAUUUUUCUAAUCUGGAAGAUACAAAU
rnacentral:lncRNA from 1 species